UACGUAGGGGGCGAGCGUUGUCCGGAUUUACUGGGCGUAAAGCGCGCGUAGGCGGAACUUCAAGUCCGGUCUGAAAGCCCCCGGCUCAACCGGGGAGGGUGGCUGGAAACUGGGGUUCUUGAGGGCGAGAGAGGAGGGUGGAAUUCCUGGUGUAGCGGUGAAAUGCGUAGAGAUCAGGAGGAACACCGGUGGCGAAGGCGGGUCUCUGGGCAACAACUGACGCUGGAGGAGCGAAAGCGUGGGGAGCGAACAGG
rnacentral:rRNA from 1 species